rnacentral:rRNA from 1 species
UACGGAGGGUGCGAGCGUUGUCCGGAAUCAUUGGGCGUAAAGGGCGCGUAGGUGGCCCGGUCAGUCCGUGGUGAAAGCGCGGGGCUCAACCCCGCGUCGGCCAUGGAUACUGCUGGGCUGGAGCACUGUAGAGGCAGGCGGAAUUCCGGGUGUAGCGGUGGAAUGCGUAGAGAUCCGGAAGAACACCGGUGGCGAAGGCGGUGGUCGUGGGCCGGCACUGACGCUGAGGAGCGAAAGCGUGGGGAGCAAACAGGG